rnacentral:ncRNA from 2 species
AAACCCCGUGCGGGAGAGUUCGGGCCGGUAGCCAGCCGGUUCGGCGCCGAAGGAGCAACCCCUCCCCGGAACCUCUCAGGCGGCCAGGACCGCACGGGUGAG